GUAGGUGGCGAGCGUUGUCCGGAAUUAUUGGGGCGUAAAGCGCGCGCAGGCGGUCCUUUAAGGUCUGAUGUGAAAGCCCACGGGCUCAACCGUGGAGGGUCAUUGGAAACUGGAGAACUUGAGUACAGAAGAGGAAAGCGGAAUUCCACGUGUAGCGGUGAAAUGCGUAGAGAUGUGGAGGAACACCAGUGGCGAAGGCGGCUUUCUGGUCUGUAACUGACGCUGAGGCGCGAAAGCGUGGGGAGCAAACAGGAUUAGAUACCCUGGUAGUCCACGCCGUAAACGAUGAGUGCUAAGUGUUAGGGGGUUUCCGCCCCUUAGUGCUGCAGCUAACGCAUUAAGCACUCCGCCUGGGGAGUACGGCCGCAAAGGCUG
rnacentral:rRNA from 1 species